rnacentral:rRNA from 1 species
UACGGGGGGGGCAAGCGUUGUUCGGAAUUACUGGGCGUAAAGGGCUCGUAGGCGGCCAACUAAGUCAGACGUGAAAUCCCUCGGCUUAACCGGGGAACUGCAUCUGAUACUGGAUGGCUUGAGUUCGAGAGGGAUGCGGAAUUCCAGGUGUAGCGGUGAAAUGCGUAGAUAUCUGGAGGAACACCGGUGGCGAAGGCGGCAUCCUGGACCGACACUGACGCUGAGGAGCGAAAGCCAGGGGAGCAAACGGG